rnacentral:rRNA from 1 species
GUAGGUGGCAAGCGUUGUCCGGGAAUUAUUGGGGCGUAAAGCGCGCGCAGGCGGUUCUUUAAGUCUGAUGUGAAAGCCCACGGGCUCAACCGUGGGAGGGUCAUUGGAAACUGGAGAACUUGAGUACAGAAGAGGAAAGCGGAAUUCCACGUGUAGCGGUGAAAUGCGUAGAGAUGUGGAGGAACACCAGUGGCGAAGGCGGCUCUCUGGUCUGUAACUGACGCUGAGGCGCGAAAGCGUGGGGAGCAAACAGGAUUAGAUACCCUGGUAGUCCACGCCGUAAACGAUGAGUGCUAAGUGUUAGGGGGUUUCCGCCCCUUAGUGCUGCAGCUAACGCAUUGAGCACUCCGCCUGGGGAGUACGGCCGCAAAGGCUG